AGCGAACGCUGGCGGCAGGCCUAACACAUGCAAGUCGAACGGAUCCUUCGGGAUUAGUGGCGGACGGGUGAGUAACACGUGGGAACGUGCCCUUUGGUUCGGAACAACUCAGGGAAACUUGAGCUAAUACCGGAUGUGCCCUUCGGGGGAAAGAUUUAUCGCCAUUGGAGCGGCCCGCGUCUGAUUAGCUAGUUGGUGAGGUAACGGCCCACCAAGGCGACGAUCAGUAGCUGGUCUGAGAGGAUGAUCAGCCACACUGGGACUGAGACACGGCCCAGACUCCUACGGGAAGCAGCAGUGGGGAAUCUUGCGCAAUGGGCGAAAGCCUGACGCAGCCAUGCCGCGUGAAUGAUGAAGGUCUUAGGAUUGUAAAAUUCCUUCAGCGGGGACGAUAAUGACGGUACCCGCAGAAGAAGCUCCGGCUAACUUCGUG
rnacentral:rRNA from 1 species